GAUGAACGCUAGCGGCAGGCCUAACACAUGCAAGUCGAGGGGUAGAGUUAGCUUGCUAACUUGAGACCGGCGCACGGGUGCGUAACGCGUAUGCAAUCUACCUUUUACAGAGGGAUAGCCCAGAGAAAUUUGGAUUAAAACCUCAUAGUAUCUUUGCCUGGCAUCAGGUGAUUAUUAAAGUUCCAACGGUAAAAGAUGAGCAUGCGUCCUAUUAGCUAGAUGGUAAGGUAACGGCUUACCAUGGCAACGAUAGGUAGGGGUCCUGAGAGGGAGAUCCCCCACACUGGUACUGAGACACGGACCAGACUCCUACGGGAGGCAGCAGUGAGGAAUAUUGGACAAUGGGCGCAAGCCUGAUCCAGCCAUGCCGCGUGCAGGAAGACGCAUCUAUGGUGUGUAAACUGCUUUUGUACGGGAAGAAACACUCCUACGUGUAGGAGCUUGACGGUACCGUAAGAAUAAGGAUCGGCUAACUCCGUGCCAGCAGCCGCAGUAAUAC
rnacentral:rRNA from 1 species